AAAUGCUGGGAUUACAGGCAUGAGCCACCACAGUUGACCAUGACCUGGGCAUGUUUGUGCCUGGGACUGU
rfam:Chlorocebus sabaeus isolate 1994-021 chromosome 11, whole genome shotgun sequence.